rnacentral:rRNA from 1 species
GGGUGGAUCUGCCCUCGCACUUCGUGGAUAAGCUUGGGAAACUGGGUCUAAUACCGGAUAGGACCGCACUUUAGUGUGUGUGGUGGAAAGUUUUUUCGGUGUAGGAUGAGCUCGCGGCCUAUCAGCUUGUUGGUGGGGUAAUGGCCUACCAAGGCGGCGACGGGUAGCCGGCCUGAGAGGGUGUACGGCCACAUUGGGACUGAGAUACGGCCCAG